UACGUAGGUGGCAAGCGUUGUUCGGAAUUACUGGGCGUAAAGGGCUCGUAGGUGGCCAACUAAGUCAGACGUGAAAUCCCUCAGCUUAACUGGGGAACUGCGUCUGAUACUGGAUGGCUUGAGUUUGGGAGAGGGAUGCGGAAUUCCAGGUGUAGCGGUGAAAUGCGUAGAUAUCGGGAGGAACACCGGUGGCGAAGGCGGUUCUCUGGGCCUGUACUGACGCUGAGGAGCGAAAGCGUGGGGAGCGAACAGG
rnacentral:rRNA from 1 species